CUGAUGGCUCUGGCUUCUGUUGCAGCAUUAGCUUGAUUAGUGUAUUCUGGAACAUUUUCUUGAACAUUUUCAUGAUCUGGCUCUCUUGCCUCGAGUUCUUCUAUACAUUCCAACCUUUCCACUUCAGAUUCUGGAGCCAGAUUGCACCAUUCAUCAAUCACUCCUCUGUUCUGUUCAAAUUCUUCCACUGCAUUCUCAAUGUCCUCGCUGUUUUUCUCAUAUUUGUCUUUGUUUCGUUUCACAAUGUGACGGACAUACUCAGGAUGGUCAGAACCUGGUAGUUGGACACAACCACUCUUGUAGAAGGACUCGUACGUGGGGAAAUGCCGUCUUUUCAGUUCCAGGUCUGAUCGGUGAGGAAUGUACAGUUUCAGUAAUGUGCCAUAGAACUUCUCUGGAUAUUUUUCCUGUGAGCAGCGACAAUUCUGCAAGUUGCUGCGAAAUCUGCCAAACACAUCUGCUCAAACUCUGGUGUUUCUGGUCUGGAUUUGUAUUUGUCAGUCAAAGACGUCAUCCACACAUUUACACUUUCUAAUGUUGUGUUCUCCAGAGUACGCCUGCAUGAUUUCCCUCAUUUCAUCACAUUCAUUGACGUGGUCUUUGGUGGAGUUUUCAAUGACUGUUUUGAGGAAGCGUUGUCGUGGCAACGUGAUGAUGGAUGAAAGCUUCUGAAUGUCGGGCCUGCAGACAGAAGGCAGCAACUCCCAAUGAAUCCACUUCCUCCUUAUAGAUGGCUUUGUUUUAUUUCAGUAUGAACAAAGUGAAACAACUAAACACACAAAUACACUGAAUGUUUGAAAUAAUGUACGUUUAUACAGGAAAUUGUUAUUACAGAUUUCUAGAGUACUGCUACCAAAACAAAGCUUUGGGUACAAACCAGCGGAGCUCCAAAGCAACAACGAUCAGGAAAUUAACUAUUCCUUUUAUAUGAUAUAGACUUUUACUACAAUUGUUUUUAUGUAAAGUAACAAGGGAGCAACUUUCUUGAAUUAUGUUAAUGUAAUGAUUUACUCGAAAUAUAUAUUUGAAAAUGUACCAUUCAAUUCUAAAUGAUAAAAGGUACUUUUUAUCAAUUACAACAAAAUAUGUAGGUUAUGUGUGGUUUCUUUCAGUUUCUGAAUUAACUUUUCAGUUUUGUUUAACCAAUGUGUUGGGAAAAAGUCUCGGAAAUAGUAUAAAUGCUUUGUCCGAGUUGCAAAAACAGCAAUAGUGUUCUAGAGAUAAGUGUAUAAGUUGUAGAUAGGAGAGGUAAGAGGUGAGGGUGAGAGAAGAGAGUCUCUCAGAGUAUUCAAGUCAGAUAGAUUAGGUACCAGUAACCCAAGUCGAGCCAACAGAGCUUAGUCCAAAAUUCAGUUCAGUUCAGAGAAAGGUUUCCAGAGUUUGUUCCAUUCCAUUGCCAAAGAUUACCAACGUGAGAGUGGGAUAGAGGGGGACACAAAGUGUGAGUUGCCAUAUGCAAAAGACAGAGCGGUAGAUGUGACAGGAUAGAUAGAGAGCCAACUUGUAGACAGAGUGGAUACAAGGUACAGGAUAGAUAGAGAGCCAACUUGUAGACAGAGUGGAUACAAGGUAUAGGAGAGAUAGAGAGCCAACGUGAUAGAGGAGAGAUGCUGCACAGCAGGACACCUGGAAGACACAAUACAAAGACACUUUAGACAGCAGUUUGAAGAUCAAUUUAAGGAACAUCUAAAUGACCAGAAUAUCAACCAUUCUACCUCGAUAAUACCUCACUUAUUUAUAUGAAAAACAAUGUUGACCAUAAAUGGAUCAUUGAGUAGACUGGUUCAGAUGUCUCACAGCUUGCGUCUCUCUCCCAAGUUGUUUCACAGCGUCGCUGCUGCCACCUCUCCUUUUACAGGGUUUGCCUUUCAUGAUUACCAGUUUUCAUUUUAUUCUGAAGUAUUGUUUAUAUAAAUCAUCUUAUUUAUUUUAAAUAUAAAAUGUUUUAUUUAUUUUAAAUAUAAAAUGUUUAAGAAGCAUUGGAGUUUAUUCAUAAGAUGUUAACAAUCCACAAUUAAAAGAUGAUACUCUGAAUUCAUGGAGCCGUGAGAGUCACUGCCUUCUUGUGUUCACUGUUCUGAAACUAUUUCAGAAUAAAAGCCUUUUGUUAAUAAGGGGAUUCCUGGACAGGAAUCUCGAAAAGAGACUCAGACUCACACAGGAGGUGCGGCUUGGAGUUUUUCAUAACAACUUCACCAUGUGUUUUAACAAAGUGUAUUCAGUUUUCACUCAUGUGUGAACUUACUGUGAAGUCACCAGCAGUGAUGGUCUGUAGUUAAAGACAGAGAGGAAACAAGAAGAGUCGGGAGAGAAAUACAUUACAUUUACAUUCUUCUCAGAAAACCAGUGCAUCACAUCCCAUUUGACUCCAGAACUGUUCUUACGGUCGGGUGAUUAUUGUUACGUACAGAUAAGACAGAUUAUUAUGAUGGGAGGACAUUUAAAAGCCAAUGUAAUAUCAAUUUACUUAUAGCAUUAACAUUAACAAUGUGUAUGAACUUACACUUCAGAGUCAGCCUGCAGGAGAGGAAGGAGGUGAGGGAUGAAAAGAGAGAAAAAGACAUUUUCAAUUCACUUCAGAAAACCAACCUAAAGCUCAUUUUAAGUACUUUCAGGUUCCUUAUUUAUUAUCAAUGUAUAAUUUAAAAUGGACAUAGAAGUGUGUGUGUGACUGUGGGGAUACCGACUGUUGUCAACAACAUACAAUCGUAUCCCUUCAAUAUGUGUUAUUGCCUGUCAAGGACUUUAAGAAAUGCAGCUGGUUCUAUAGCAUAGGACACAACAUUAACGCUGCCACCAUCAAUUAUUAGUUACAGAUUAUGCAAGCUUUUUAAAUGUUAAUGUUUUCUGAUUGAACAGAUCGGAUUUCUGGCUAAAACAAUACAUCCACAAUAGAAA
ensembl:lncRNA